UCCGUAGGCGGUGCGGCAAGUCGGAAGUGAAAUCUCUGGGCUUAACUCAGAGGCUGCUUCCGAGACUGCCGUGCUCGAGUGCGAGAGAGGCAAGUGGAAUUGCGGGUGUAGCGGUGAAAUGCGUAGAUAUCCGCAGGAACAUCCGAGGCGAAAGCGGCUUGCUGGAUCGCAACUGACGCUGAGGGACGAAAGCUAGGGGAGCAAACAGGAUUAGAUACCCUGGUAGUCCUAGCCCUAAACCAUCAGGACUUGGGGUUUGCCCUGUACGGGACAAGUCCCGGAGCUAACGCGUUAAGUCCUGCGCCUGGGGAGUACGGUCGCAAGGCUGAA
rnacentral:rRNA from 1 species